rnacentral:rRNA from 1 species
CCUACGGGAGGCAGCAGUAGGGAAUCUUCCACAAUGGGCGCAAGCCUGAUGGAGCAACGCCGCGUGGGUGAAGAAGGUCUUCGGAUCGUAAAACCCUGUUGUUAGAGAAGAUAGUGCGUGAGAGUAACUGUUCACGUUUCGACGGUAUCUAACCAGAAAGCGACGGCUAACUACGUGCCAGCAGCCGCUGUAAUACGUAGGUGGCAAGCGUUAUCCGGAUUGAUUGGGCGUAAAGGGAAUGCAGGCGGUCUUUUAAGUCUGAUGUGAAAGCCUUCGGCUUAACCGGGGUAGUGCAUUGAAGACUAGGAAACUAGAGUGCAGAAGAGGAGAGUGGAACUCCAAGUGUAGCGGUGAAAUGCGUAGAUAUAUGGUAGAACACCAGUGGCGAAGGCGGCUCUCUGGUCUGUAACUGACGCUGAGGUUCGAAAGCGUGGGUAGCAAACAGGAUUAGAUACCCGAGUAGUC